UACAGGAGGUGGCAAGCGUUGUUCGGAAUUACUGGGCGUAAAGGGCGCGUAGGCGGUUCGUUAAGUCCUGUGUGAAAUCCCCCGGCUCAACUGGGGAACUGCACAGGAAACUAGCGGGCUUGAGUUCGGGAGAGGGAAGCGGAAUUCCGGGUGUAGCGGUGAAAUGCGUAGAUAUCCGGAAGAACACCGGUGGCGAAGGCGGCUUCCUGGACCGACACUGACGCUGAGGCGCGAAAGCUAGGGGAGCAAACGGG
rnacentral:rRNA from 1 species